GACGAACCGUGCGAACGUUGUUCGGAAUCACUGGGCUUAAAGGGCGCGUAGGCGGGUUCGCAAGUCUGUGGUGAAAGCCUCCAGCUUAACUGGAGAAGUGCCGUGGAUACUGCGAAUCUUGAGGAGGGUAGGGGCGUCUGGAACGGUCGGUGGAGCGGUGAAAUGCGUUGAUAUCCGGAGGAACACCGGUGGCGAAGGCGGCUUCCUGGACCGACACUGACGCUGAGGCGCGAAAGCUAGGGGAGCAAACGGG
rnacentral:rRNA from 1 species